AGUGAACGCUGGCGGUAGGCCUAACACAUGCAAGUCGAACGGCAGCACAGUAAUAGCUUGCUCUUACGGGUGGCGAGUGGCGGACGGGUGAGGAAUACAUCGGAAUCUACUUUUUCGUGGGGGCUGACGUAGGGAAACUUACGCUAAUACCGCAUACGACCUACGGGUGAGAGCAGGGGAUCUUCGGACCUUGCGCGAUUGAAUGAGCCGAUGUCGGAUUAGCUAGUUGGCGGGGUAAAGGCCCACCAAGGCGACGAUCCGUAGCUGGUCUGAGAGGAUGAUCAGCCACACUGGAACUGAGACACGGUCCAGACUCCUACGGGAGGCAGCAGUGGGGAAUAUUGGACAAUGGGCGCAAGCCUGAUCCAGCCAUACCGCGUGGGUGAAGAAGGCCUUCGGGUUGUAAAGCCCUUUUGUUGGGAAAGAAAAGCAGCAGGUUAAUACCCCGCUGUUCUGACGGUACCCAAAGAAUAAGCACCGGCUAACUUCGUG
rnacentral:rRNA from 1 species